rnacentral:rRNA from 1 species
GACGAACGCUGGCGGCGUGCUUAACACAUGCAAGUCGAACGGAAAGGCCCUGCUUUUGUGGGGUGCUCGAGUGGCGAACGGGUGAGUAACACGUGAGUAACCUGCCCUUGACUUUGGGAUAACUUCAGGAAACUGGGGCUAAUACCGGAUAGGAGCUCCUGCUGCAUGGUGGGGGUUGGAAAGUUUCGGCGGUUGGGGAUGGACUCGCGGCUUAUCAGCUUGUUGGUGGGGUAGUGGCUUACCAAGGCUUUGACGGGUAGCCGGCCUGAGAGGGUGACCGGCCACAUUGGGACUGAGAUACGGCCCAGACUCCUACGGGAGGCAGAAGUGGGGAAUAUUGCACAAUGGGCGGAAGCCUGAUGCAGCAACGCCGCGUGCGGGAUGACGGCCUUCGGGUUGUAAACCGCUUUCGCCUGUGACGAAGCGUGAGUGACGGUAAUGGGUAAAGAAGCACCGGCUAGCUACGUG